ACCAGUCUACAGAGUAAUAAUCGAUUUUGUUUAUAUAAACAAGUUUCUAAGUGUUCCUUUUCACCAGUCUACAGAGACUUUGAAAUUCAAUCAUCGGCCCAGAACAAAAUGUUUGAUCCAUUUUCUAUAUCAUCCUAUUUAGUUUUAAGAUUAAAAAAAUCUUUGGCAAAUCAAAACUUAUUUCCUUGUCACGUGUGAGCUUGUAGUAGGUACAUAAUACAUUAGGUCUUGAAUUGUUGUUCACACACUUGAUAGACUUCUUCAUCUAUAAAAGGAGCUAUUCCAUACACCUUAAAACUCAAAAGUGGUACCUUCAUCAUUCACAUAUGCCCAUUCCUGACACAUCUUUUAGAUGAUUCUUUGAUUUGGAUGUUCUAAGAAGAUGCACGAAACGUAUCAAGCGUGAGGGGUUUCUGUGCGAUUCUUGUCAAGUGAGCAGUCUUUGCGGUUCAUCUCUUUUUCGUUGUCUGUUCGACCUUGAUUAUCUUAUAUACAUAUCUGCACCCCUAGUUUUACAGAUUAUUUUCUUGCUCUAACACAAUUUUUUGGUCCCUUUCAAUCAUAUAUCCUGAUAUUCAAUUCGAUCUAUAUUUUCAUAGAAGUACCGAUUAACCAACCUCUAGCUCCCCCGUUUUUUAUAACCUAGCUUUGAUCUCGUUAGGCAUAGUUAUAAACUACCAAUCUAGUUAUAUACAAACAAAAAAACGACGAACCAAAUAAACAAACGCACCUUAUAAGAUCCCACUUAUAGCAUGGUCCGGGAAAAGGUGAGAUAAGGACAAACUUUUUCUCUAUCACAUGACUAGGGUGUAAAUGAGUCGAGCCCGAGUUCGAGCUCAUUCAACAUGCGAGAGCUUAAGUUCAAGCCCGGCUCAAUUCGAACUCAUUUCUAAAAUUCGAGCUCAGCUCGUGACAAGUUUUUCAUACUCGAACCCGAUCAUUUAUUUAGUUAAUUUAUACACAUUUAUAAUUAACAUUUUUUAUAUUUAAUCAUUGCAAAUUUAUAUAUAGUAAUAACUAUUAUAUAAAUAUGUUGUAUAUAAAUAAAUUUAUGUUAACAAGAUAGAUAAGUGAAGUUGUGGCUUGGAAUCGUAUUAAACAAGCUUAUUUUUAGAGUCGGGCUUAGGCCUUAGCUCCAAUAAACUUGGCUCUGAUCGACCUUUUAGCGGGCCCAACUCAAGUAGCUCACGAGCGGUUUAGCUCGUUUAAACCCCUACGCAUGACUAACCAACUAAUUACAAACAAUGACCAUUUUUGCAAAUCUAGCAUAUAAGUGUAUUAUUAGAAUAAACUAGCUAUAGGUAGCGUUCAUUUCACGAAAUAAAAUGGAAUCUUAAUUGAAUUGGAAUGCUGAUUUUGUUUCUUAUUUUGUUGGUUUCAAUAAAAAAUUUAAUUGGAAUUUAUCAACAUAAAAAAGGAAAUCGAGAGUCUAAUUUCAUCCGGAUUACAAUUUAUUCUGUGAAACAAACACAUAUAAAUUCAAAUGAAAUUUCAAUUUCGACACGAAUUCCAAUUCUAGUUUUAUUAAAUUCAUGAAACAAACUACCUAAGGUUCGCUACCGAGUUGAGACUUCCAUGUGUAUAAGACCACCCGUAGUGGGGCGUUUUUUAUAAAAAAAAAAUCAAAGAAAACGCCUAAUCACGCCCAUAGCCCAUUACGGGGUGGCGUUUUGUGGCGUGUUCCGAGCCAAAAAUUGUUUUGGCGUUUUUGUAAUCACGCCUUAGCCUGCAUUCUCAUUUCCAUUUUAGCCAAUAAGAAUAUUCCACCUAAUUUUUAGUUUAGUUUACUUUUAUUUUUUUAAAUAAUUGGGUAAUCAUUGAUGGGGCAUUAUUGGGCAUUAUUCCACUACGCCUAUUUGUGAAAAACGCCCGUAAUGCCCAUUUACUGACUGGGAUGACACGUGUCGCACAACGCCCAUGAAUGGGGGCAUUAUUCAUGUGUACCACUACCCAUUACAUGUUCUAAUAAAGUUACCACUUAUGCAUGAGAUUCCUCAUAAUUAAAGGUGAUCGAUACUUCCAAGUAUCGAAUGAUUUAUUAGUUACGUCAUGAGUGAAUGCCAAUAAAGUUACCACUUAUGCAUGAUUCCUCAUAAUUUGUUUAGAAGAAAUAAUAAUGUUGCUAAUUUUGUUUGGUAAUUUAUAGGAAAUAUCUGUACGGGCUAAUAUUUUAUUAGGCACUUUUUAUAUACAAAUUUUAAACGGUUAUAAUAGAAGGGAUUCCACUAUUUCCUCACCUACUGUAUCCUCACCUACCCACGUACACCAACAAAGAAAAAUAAGCUUUCUUGAAUUUUGAUAAUGACCACUCAAUAUUUCUAUAAUAUUCACCCUUUCCAUUUUCUCUGCACAUAUUUUAAUACGUGUAUUAAUUUACCAUCAACAAAUAUCCAACAUAUUAUACAUACAUAUAUAUAUUUUUCAGUUUAGUUUGAGUCGGAUUUUUUAUUAAACAAACGUUACAUGUUCGAAAUAUUUAUUUUAUUAACAAAAGAGAAUUUAAUGUACGAAGAAAGGUUUGGUCCACAUUUUUUGGAUCUCAUGUUAAAGCCAUCGCUUAGUUAGAUCUGACCUCGAUAUGUUAUACCUACUACCACUAAAAGACGAUUAAUUUCAAAAGAAUCCUCAUGUAUAAUAUACAGUUUUUGUGGGUUCAAGAUUCCUGAACCCCAUGGCUAUGACUUAUGUGGCUUAAUAAUCACCACCAGUAUCAUCCACCACCCUCAGGAGGGGAUUAUCAUGGCUCUGUAAAGUUAUCAACUAUUUUAGUGGUCCUUGAUAACUCCGUUGCUAGACUACAAACACAUAAAGUAUCAUGUUGCUAGUUUUAAUUGAUUUUAUGAUUAUGAUAAUUUAUAGUGCCACAUAAAGGUUUUUACUAGAUCCACCACCCAUCCCUCUUAGCCCUUUGUAUACAUCUACCUAACACAAACAAAAAGCACUUCUGUAUAUGGACCAUUGUCAUAUACACUCAUAUACAGGGGCACACUCUUUUCAAAACCAAUUGUACGUUGUAAACUGCGAGAACCGCGUAAUAUAGAUGUCGCUUCGAUGGAAACAGUAAAUAUGAGAAACAGUGUUUUUUUUAAAAAAAAAAAUCACCACUCUUGUUUUGAGUUUAUCUACUCUCUCCUAAUUUUUUUUAAAAGCACAAAUAUGUGUAUAUAUACAUGCAUUUAUAUGUGCAUGUAGUGGAUAUGCAUUUGUGCAUUUUGUUAAAAGACUAGUGGUACUAAAUUUUAUUAUAAAUAAAACCAUAAAGAUAUUGAAAUACAUAUGCAUUUUAGUCAAUUUAUAGGGUUAAUGGAGUUCUCAAAUACUAUUUGCUAUGAAAAAAACACCAAUAUAUGUGUGUGUGUAAGUGUAAAUUAUGUAUAUCAAGGUGGAACAGACGAUGAAUGUGAGGUGGUAACAAGCAAAAAGACUGGUUAUUUGACAAGAGUAUGCAUGGAAACCAACACUGAUGGUGGGCCGAAAAAGAAUAAUUAAUUGGUGAUAGAUAAAGAAAGGUUCGGUGGUCCAUCUCCAUAGAUUUGAGGGGGUCACUGCAGAAGAUCGAUAGAAAAGACACCAAUGAUCCAAUGUGUCGAUGAUGGCUAGUGGAUAUUCAUGGAUACCAAGUUCAAGCAACAGUACUCAAGUUAAUAGAAGCAUGAUAUUGAAUAAUUAUGCUUAGUUAGUAAAAAAUAUAUGCUCCAUUGUUUUUUUUUUUUUUUAAAUUCUUGAGGGGUAUUACAAUGUUAUACAUGUACACAAAAAGUUUUUCUUUUUCAUCAUAUUUUUUUAGUGUAGAAAAAGAAAGACGUAUAUCUACACGUGUUGCAUAUCUAUUUUCUUU